UUAUACGUGAGAAACUGUCUCAAGGUGAAGUUAAUCUUGUUAAAAUUCACACUGAUAGAAAUCCCUCUGACAUGGGAACAAAAAUUCUACCUGCAAGUAAAUUUAGAUUGUGCUUAUCUUUAUUACACAUUGACACUGGUUAAUUUUCUUGCAGGUGGUGGGCGAUGAUGAUGAACAGUUCUUCCAUGUGCAAAUUCGCAACCAAGAGAGAGUGUUAGGAGAACCAAGGUGAAGAAUGUGAGGAUAUGGUUCACCUAACCCCACCCAAUGUUGUGACUUGAUGGUAUUGAUGUUGACACAAUGAGGUCUUCCCACGUUUUGGCAGAGGCAUGGUCUUUCCUUCCUUCCCCUUCAUAUGUACUCUCUACCAUUUCAAAAGAAAGGGGAAGCUCUCGGUUUUUUUUUUUUUUAUUCCCAGCAGAAGGGGAGCUCUCGGUUUUAGCUUAAGGUGGUGGUUCUUUGCCGGAUUUUUUCCCCUCUCUCUUGGAAGGUGAUUUGCAAGUCAUGGAGGCUGUUCCUGAGCCUGAAAAACACCCAUAAAUCGAAGAAGAAGCUGCUGAAACGAGAAAGGAAAACUGCAGAAAUUUCGGCCAAAGACAGGUUGUAUUUUUCCAUCCCUUUUUCAUUGUUUUGCCUUAGAAUAUCUUCUAUUGGUUGAUGUUUUGGUUGAUUGAACUCCUAGGAUCCCCAACACAGCAAAUGUGAAAUAGUUUCUUAUGAUGCCAUUUGAAGGUUCCAUUUUUUCUGUAGGACUUCGUUCACCUGAAUCGAAUUGUGCCAAAUUCGCGAACAAAAAAGAGAGAGGAUAUUUUGAGUGGAAUGGCAGAACGCACUAGGAGCUUGUAGGAAUUGCUUCCCAUCAGGACGAGCAUGUGAAUUCACCAUUUUUUGUCAAAAAAAGGAAAUUUAAUCCAAAGAUAUAGCAGUGCCUGCCGAACCAAGAUUCAUGGCCUGAAUCUGAAGAGAAGAAGAAACAAGUCGCCGCCGAGGUCCGAGAUGUAACUAAUAAAGGAAGAAGCCCUUCAAAAUUAUUGUGACUGAGGUUCAAAAACUUCAACGGCUUGAGUGUGCUAAGAGACUUGAAGAUGCUGUUGUUGAACGCAUUAACAGCAAGGUUUAACUUCUCUAACCUCUUCAAAUGGACCAAUUUUAUAAAACCUGCUUAGAAUGCGCUGAUUGAUUUCAUCAAUGUUGUAUUAAUCUUCUACUAAAUCUAUAGUAAUUUAACUGUACAUAAGAUGGUGUUUAUUGCAUAAUAAAACCUUAACCUCUGAUGAUAA